rnacentral:lncRNA from 1 species
GGGAGCAGAGUGUGUGGUGGUUCUAACGGACUGAGAGUAAUCAAAGGACUUGCCAGACUCACCAGACUGCUCAAAUACAGCAUGUAGCUUAGCAUCCACCGUGUACUGAGCCACAGCCUUGCUGACUGACUCCCUGUAGUUUACAUUUUGGCUUGUCCCUGAAGAUUGAGCUUGACCUCUACCUUUAGAAUGGUGAUGAUGAAGACUGCUUGAUGCUCUGCUUCCCCCUGAGGCCAUCUGUGUUGAGGAAAAAGGAAAAGGAAAAAGAAGAAGAAGAAGAAGGAAAGGACAAGCUCACCUUGAGUGUGUGUUACAAGUUUGGAUUUUUAAGCUGAAUUAGGACAGACAUGGAGUUAAUAAGAGGACCCGAUUGGGUAAAAUUUCUGGGAGUGUCAAGAAAUUUCGCAGCAGAUGUAUAGGGUUUCUUCUUGUCUUGAAUUUUAAAAAAGAAAGAACCUUUUUUCUUCACCCUGUUUUUUCCUCGUCCCUGUUAAUUCUGGGGCGGAUUCUAAUUUCUUGAAUCCCCUUCUUUUC